rnacentral:rRNA from 1 species
UACAGAGGUUUCAAGCGUUGUUCGGAUUCAUUGGGCGUAAAGGGUGCGUAGGUGGCGCUGUAAGUCGGGUGUGAAAUUUCGGAGCUUAACUCCGAAACUGCAUUCGAUACUGCGGUGCUUGAGGACUGGAGAGGAGACUGGAAUUCAUGGUGUAGCAGUGAAAUGCGUAGAGAUCAUGAGGAAGACCAGUGGCGAAGGCGGGUCUCUGGACAGUUCCUGACACUGAGGCACGAAGGCCAGGGGAGCAAACGGG